rnacentral:rRNA from 1 species
GCCUACAUGAAGCUGGAGUUACUAGUAAUCGCAGAUCAGAAUGCUGCGGUGAAUGCGUUCCCGGGUCUUGUACACACCGCCCGUCACACCACGGGAGUUGGAGACGCCCGAAGCCGAUUAUCUAACCUUUUGGAAGAAGUCGUCGAAGGUGGAAUCAAUAACUGGGGUGAAGUCGUAACAAGGUAGCCGUAUCGGAAGGUGCGGCUGGAUCACCUCCUUU